CCAGCGCAUAAAGGACAGCCGUCCUGACGACUGGUAUGAGCAACAUCAGCCGCGAGCAGCGGAGGGGUUCUUUCGGCAGACUACGGCAAUCUACCGCAGGGAACGGCGAUAGGAACCCUGGCUCCCUCGACAGUGCCGUGGACGAACCUGCGCCGGUGGCACAGGACCUGCUACAGCAGACUACUUCACUCCGUACGCUGUAGCAACAGCUCGGCAGCUCCUCCGCCGUCCCCUGACACACUGCUGCGCAUGAACUUGACCGUACCGACGCUUUCCAGCCACAGCGACCCAGGUCAGAAGACUUCAUCGUCGACUUGGACGCUUGCCAUAGGGCCGCCCGAGUCACCGAUGACUUCCUCCGGCGUAGAGUAUACUAGCAGCAGAUCCUGGCUGACUGUCCUUCUCCCUGACAUCUUGCACUUGCCGAACGUUUGGAAAGGUGGGAGUGCGCCGAUAGCAAGGUGUUAUCGCUGAUAACACCUCCCACGUGCAGUCUCCCUUAUACUGCGCGGGAACCCGAAGCCAUAGCGCUAUACAAGCGCGGAAAAUAAAUUAAUCUUCAAUUCAUCUUCACGACUGCUGCUGGCGGCGGACAGAUUACGACGCAGUGGUCUUUUGGGAACGGUGAUGUAUGCAAAUAAACAUGUUUAACCUGA